rnacentral:lncRNA from 1 species
GGGGGGAAGCGGCUGGGUGGGAAAGAAAGAAGGGAAAAAAGCGGUUGGGUGGGGUGGGGUCGGUAGGGUUUUAAUUUUUUUUAUUUAAAUUUUUAUUUUUUUCUAUUAAAAUCAUAGUAAUUUUUUAAACUUUUUUUAAUUUUCACCUAAUUUUUAAUUAUUGUAAUAUUUUUAAUUUUUAAAAUCUAUAUUUUCUUUAUGUAAUUAUUUUAAUUAUUUAAAUUAUG